rnacentral:rRNA from 1 species
GACAGAGGGUGCAAACGUUGCUCGGAAUUACUGGGCGUAAAGCGUGCGCAGGCGGUCUUUUAAGUCAGAUGUGAAAUCCCCGGGCUUAACCUGGGAACUGCGUUUGAAACUGGAAGGCUUGAGUGUGGCAGAGGGGGGUGGAAUUCCACGUGUAGCAGUGAAAUGCGUAGAGAUGUGGAGGAACACCGAUGGCGAAGGCAGCCCCCUGGGCUAACACUGACGCUCAUGCACGAAAGCGUGGGGAGCAAACAGG